AAGAAACAUCCAGACAGGCAGAUACAAUACUCAAUAGCAUUUCUUUUAGCUUCUGCGUUUCUCUCUCUUGGCUGAUCAGUUCUUCCAUGGUGACCAAGGUGUGAACAUUUUCAUUUACUUUGAAGAGAAGGGAAGUUGAUGAAGCUUCAUACCCAAAAACCAAUAUUAAUUCCUCAGAGAAACGAUUAUACUACAGGUACACCUAGCUUAAUUCUAUAGUAAAAAAUAGAAUAAUAAAAGUAUAUGUUACUAUGUGUUUGAUGUAUAAAUUGUUGGUUUUUUUGUUGAAAAAAUUAUUUUUUCUUUUUACGGGUGGUGAUUUGUUAUAUGAUCACAUUUUCGUUUCUCCAUCCAAAUGAUCAUGGAGUUCUACUUCACAUGCAAAUGUGGAAAAUAGAGUGGACAUCCUAGAGAAUGAAGUAGGUAUCAUCGAAUGUGAGAAGGUCCCAGGUUGCCGUACCGAAUGGAGGAACACAUGUCCCUUGGCAGCUUAGCUGUCAACUAUGUGGCUAUUUCCAAAGCUCUGCAGACAUCACCAUCAGUUGUUGUUGGUGGAUUGAUUGUCGAUUAUCCUAUUUGUGCAAUAUACUUCACAACAUUGUUUGCAUUGGUUUCUUAAAUAUCAACUGAGGCUACUCAAUCCGUCACUGAUAUGUAAACCUUGAACUUGUCUUUUACAACAUGUCAAUUAAUGCAAAGUUGCUAUAUACUAGAGAGAGAUUACAGAGAAACAUAUAAAGAAAGGCUAGGACAACAUAAAUUGAUCAAUUUGAUGUUUGACAUGAGGAAAGAGAGACAAUAAUAAGCUGCAAGUAUUAUUGAACAUUGACUUGGAAUAGGGUGUUUGGUUCCUUUUUUUUUUUAUUUUGAAUACAACUACACCACAGAGUUAGUCGUUGAAUGGACAUUUGAUGACCUUAUUUGACAAGAAGUGAGGUGAUUAAGAAUCUAUGAUUAGGAUUGAUAUUUAGGCUAAUUAUUUAGUAACUUCUAUGUCAAAAGCAUGUGGAGGUAGUUAUGCUAUCAACUUGGACCAUUAAUUCAAAAGAGUUGGUGUAGUUUAUUCUAGGCAAGAUCAUGAUUUCUAGAUAUCCAAUUAUAUGAAGAAAAGGAAUUACAAUCCAUACCGUUGAACCUAUAAUCGAGCCGCCAUUAACGAAUGAUAAUCAACAAAUCAAUAAGCGGUGACCAAUAUCUUAUUGGUUCAUUUAUCUAUUUAGCAUAUUUAUAAGCCAAUAAUCGAUAUGUUUAACGGAUAACAUUUGAAACUGAAUCUCACAACAAGUUGCCCUAGGUGACAAGAUAAAGUCUUUUACCAUCAGUAGGUUUAGACAUCUAUGAUAGAUUAUUCUAAGUUGGUGUUAUUAUAGACAAAAGAGCAUUAAAUUGAAUUUCGUUUUGCUUCUUAGGAGGAAGAAUAUACAAAUUCUGAGUGAAAAGUUUAUGCAUGCUUGUAUUUUGUAUUUUGCCAUCCUGUCGACAUUUUCAGUCUUACUGAAAGCAAAAAAUUUCAUUCCAUGAGAUGUGCAUAUUUUUAAGCACCAACAGCUAGCAUGAAUAUUGCCUUGUUGACACUAAGGUUGAGAUAAAGUAGUUGGUGAAGUCUGUUGUAUAGCCAUUUCUAUGAUUUUCAGGAAUUUGAAGAAGGAAGGAUCAUUAAACAUCCAGCGAACAACCUUCUUAGACUUUGAACUUCUUGAUGAAGUAUAGUUCCCUUUCAAUUUUCCGCAUCAACUGAUGGUCUUUUAAUUUGUAUAUGUUGUGCCUCAACGUAUUCUUGUGCCUAAGAUAAUUCUCACUAUGAUUGUUGAUGAAGGAAGAGUUUAAGAAGCCUGAGCUAAAACAUAUUACUCAGUUAAGAUUGUCCUACUGCUCAUCCUCUCUUUGUUAGUUUAAGAGUAUGUUUUAUAUUUUCGUUUGUGUGGUGUUUUCUUUGUACUUUUAUGCUCAAACGAAAUACAAAGUUCUAUCUAUAGUCUGCAAGAUACGUUAGGACAGAACUCUUUUGCUUUCAACCUAAGUUGUUUGGAUUUGGGUGUGGGUGUUGAUACUGAUAAGAAUUUAGAGGUCCGAUUCUUCAUGAUCUUAAUUUUCAUGAUUUGGGGGUACAGAUCCAAAACUGAUACUUGGACUAUGAUUUGGUGGUAGAAAAUGUAGUGGUUGAAAGAACUUUCUGCUAUUUGAAUAAAUCAAAUACUAGGUAAACUAUCUACACUUCUAUUUAUUUUGACAUGACAUUUUUUCUAUAUACAUUCUCAUAAAUAUAGUAAUUUCUUGUCUUGAUGACAACACAAUGUUAUGUGACAUGUCCUAAUGUACCAAACAAGUAGUUGGUAUGUAGUAGACACAUCUUCUUUCUGUUGUUUUAUGUAAUAAGUUUUUAUUAACUAUGCCUCUAAAAUUUAAGAUCAUAUUUUGAUUAAAUUUCAUAGCAAAACAAUACUUGAAGAUACAUUUUCAAAAAUUACUCCCAAAAUCUAUGGUCAAAUGCUAGCUUAAUCUACAGUUUUACCAAAUAUAAGCUUGGUGGUAGCUUUCCAAGCUUGUGAAACUCAUUCAUUAAGAUAGUCACCCAGUUAAAAACAAAUCAAUUUGCAAAAAGUUUUACUAAGACAACAUUUGGCUUCUGCUAAUAGAUUAACUGUUGUGGAGUGUGUUUAUUAUUUCUUCUUUUAUCAUACGUUUACUGAUAAGCCUUAUCAGGAUGAUGUAUGUCAUGCAAACCAGCUAUUGAGAAAAGGUGGUCUCAAAGACAAAAAUAUUAUUGUCUUCAUGUAUUAUGACAUUGAUUACAGUGAAGAGUGUCCAGGACCAGGAGUUAUCAUCAAUAGUUCUGCUGGUGAGGAUGUUUACGAAGGAGUUCCUAAGGUAAGUGUUUUUCUUCAUCGUUUAUUAUAUAUCUAAAUUAUACUCCUGUAUCGUGUGCUAUCUCUUGAAGCAUGAUUACACUAGAGAUGAUGCUAAUGUGGACAACUUUUUAGUUGUUCUCCUUAGCAACAAAACUACUCUUACUAGGUGUCGGCAAGGUGGUGAAUAGUGGUCAAAAUGAUCAUAUUUUCAUAUUCUAUAGCGAUCAUGGUGUCCCUGGGUUAUUUGGUAAGUAUCUUAGUUAUGCCUCUUUUGGUUGCUGCUUUGCUUUCUAUAUCUUAUGCUUUUAUACUAAUUUCGUCAUGAAAUUUUUGAAAACUUGCAUCUGAGUUUCAACUCAAUAAUUUCACGUCUAUUGAAUAUUAAUAACCAUUGUCUCACUGCUUUCUAUUGUUUGAGAAAAAGAUGAUAUCUAUUCGUUCUUUAUCAUAUAUAAAAGAUUUAUCAUAGGUAUAUGUUAACUGAAGUACUGAACAUAUAUAAUUUGAGAUUUUUUUUAAAAAAAACUGGUAAUGUUAAUAAUCUGAAAUUUUAAGUAGUAUUCUGUAUUGAAGUUUAGAAUAAGGAAUGUGGAGACGUGGUCUGCAGGUCUAAUAUUCAAUGAGUACAUAGGUAUGUUAAGUCCACUUUUUCCCCGACAUACAUUCUCUUCUCAUAAACUUGAAUUAGGGAUCACCUUUUUUGUGAUGAAUGGGUGAGUAUUAUAAAUAUUAGAUAAGCAUUAAUGUAAAUAAAAGAGGUUUACAUAGUUGUAUCAGCUGAUUAAACAACAAAAAUGCAAAUUUCUAUGCAAGAAUUUUGACUCCAUACAUGGCGUUGGUGGUUUUUCUAAUUGCAAUCUUAUCCAUGGCAAGUUAUCAUUUAACAAUUAUAUUGUCCAGUGAUCAUCUUUCUCAACCGAGUAAUUCAGAAAUCUUUAUUUUUACACGCGAUUCACCUAAAAAAAAUAUAUGAUUGUCACCAGUACUCACUUUUAUCUAAUAUGUCUUCAUGCAUAAUAUAUUCCUAUGGAAAUGUCUUCAAAGAUUUUGCUGCAAGAAUAUCACAAAUAAAGUGAAGGCAUUGGAAACAAAGAUGGGCUCUAUUUUCAUAAGACCUCAAAGGCUAUUGUGAGCACAAACAAAUUCAUUGUACAAGUUUCUUUGGAUUGCACCACAAUUUAGGCUUCUGAAAUACAUCAAACUACGGUGAGUGUGUGAUUAUUGAUUUGUUGGACACUGAAAUAUACCUGAAGAUCCCUCAGUUAAAGAUAAAAGAAUGCAUUCUCUACCUGCCGAAUGAAAGGGAGGGUGGGCGUUUAAAUUCAUGGCAUGUAACAAGAAGCUCAUGGAGCAAGAGAGUAUUUUCUGUUUGAUGAUUGGACACCAUUAGAUUAGAAUGGGCAUGAUAUACGUACUUCAAGCAUGGCUUAUUUUUUGAGUUCCAAGUUGUUUUACCUCCAUUAAGUUUUAUAUGUUUACUUUGAAUAUAUAUAGUAUGUGUUUGAGUAUAUACUUAUGCUGUAAGGAUAAUAUCUAUUCAUAAUAGAAGGCUUAAACUAAAGAAAUACUUUGCA